rnacentral:rRNA from 1 species
UACGUAGGGGGCAAGCGUUGUCCGGAUUCAUUGGGCGUAAAGAGCGUGUAGGCGGCCAGGUAGGUCGGUUGUGAAAACUGGAGGCUCAACCUUCAGAGGUCGACCGAAACCAUUUGGCUAGAGUCCGGGAGAGGAGAGUGGAAUUCCUGGUGUAGCGGUGAAAUGCGCAGAUAUCAGGAAGAACACCCGUGGCGAAAGCGGCUCUCUGGAACGGUACUGACGCUGAGACGCGAAAGCGUGGGGAGCGAACAGG